AUCCCUACAGGUGGGUGGUGCUAUCCAAAGUCAUUGAAUCCCUCUUUAUGUCUAUAUUGCCUUCUUGAGCAUAUCUGUAUAUAAGUAAAAUAAUAUUCAUGCAUUAUAGGGUAAAUGGCAUUAUCUAUUUAUGAAAUGAAUAAUUGAGCAAAUCUCAGUAUUAAGAACAUGUGAACCAUAGAGUGUGGACCUAGAACCCUAUGAAUGUGUGAAUUUUACUGUGGACUAUAACAAUAGUAAACUUGGUGACAAUAUGACUAGAAGCAUUGGUUAGCAUCAAUGUUGGAACUGUAAAGCUAGCAUAAAGAGCUAGUUAGAAAUUAAAUUGUGGCAUUGUCAGUUAUUGAAUCCUCUAAGGGAGGAUUGGAUCAUACUCACCUAUUAAGUUUUGGCUUGGCGGUGGUCGCCCCCCCCAAGCAGUGCUGUCACGCCCCGGGACCGACGGAGGCCCUCCCGGUAGCAUGCCCAGACCCGCCAUAUGUCCACACAUAUAAGGCGUCUACAAUAAAAGCGGAAGUAAAAACAAGUAGUAGAACAAAUAGAAGAAGUAGUAUAAUUAGGAUAGUAACAACCAGUGAUAUCAGAGCGAAUAAGAUUCUAUCAUCUACACCAAAGUGAAGAAAUAAAGCUAGACAAUAAAAGAAACCAUAAGUAGAACACUAUUAGUCUCAAAAGUACAAAAAUGGUGGUCUCUAAUACACUGGUAAAACUCUCAACCUCUCGCAAAAAGAAAUACAUCGAGAGGUAGACCACCUAACAACUCGUCCCUCGCUGAAGAGCUAGCUAGAAGCAAUGCCCUUCCCUCGGUCCCUGGCCUCACCCGGCGUGGAAGGCUCUGAAAAACAUCGAGAAAAGAGGGCGUGAGAACUAUAAUUUAUAGUUCCCAGUGGGCAAUUACUGACCUCAGCUCAUCGCACCACUAGGCCCCAAAAGAAAAGGGGUAAGUAUAAUAAGCAACAAUAAGAAUAAUAGUAACAACUAUAGAAAGCAUAAUAGACGUGCUAAUCCAUAUGUCUCAAGUAAGCAUGAUGCCAUGGUGAUGUACAUCUACGCUAUCAAAUGGUGAUAUGUCCAAUGCAUACUAAUACGGUUCAACGCAAUAAACAAGUAAACCUCACGAUGCAAUGUGCAAUGCAUAAGGGUAAACACUAUCCAAACAUCCGAGUACACUACUAUGCAAUAAUGAAACCGGCAAGUAUACUAAAUGUAUCAAUGCCAUAUCAUGAGCAUGUCCAAGUAAUCCAACUACCGAUCCUAUCGAGCAGUGAUUGACCAUAUACCACACCGUGUCGAUUUCCAUUUCCAAUUAGGGACCUACCCAAGGUAGUCCAGCUUGUGCCGCCUAAGUGCCUGUGGUAGCCCGACAUUCCUAUACAUGGAAUGUGUCUGUCCCACUCGACCCCGUAGGCUUCUCGAUACCGCACGAGCGAACAUAAGUCGCGUAGGCUAACUCCGGAGUGCCGGCUUGUAGGGAGCGACCCUCACAAGCAUGUGCGAAUGAGCACAAAUGGCAAGCAAGCAUAGUCCAAGUCUCAAGUAACCAAUCCUCAUGUCUCUAACAUGGUAUAGCCACUAGCAUCCCGAAGAUCUAGUUUAAGUCACAAUGUGAAUUUUCAACUUUUGCUACGCCUAGUGCCCCUUGAUGACACUUAGGCAAUCUGGUGUCCAACAUGUAUCCCAAGUCCCUCGAUGGCCCUAUCCACUAGGUUCACACAUGUCCCGAGCUCAAUGCCGCUUGAUGACAUUAGCUCUCUAAUUCACAUACCUUCUAAAUGACAAUCUUGUCAACUUUCAUGUCCCAAUAAACUUAGGUUUAAAUGCAUGAAUCCGAACUCAUUUAUACUAUAGAAGCAUGAAACCAAGUCUCAUGAAGAAUGCUAAAUGCAACCAAAGAUCUCCCAAGCAACUCUCUACUACAUAGAGGUCCAAAAUUUCACUACAUAUAACAUAUGCAUUUUAAGCAUUCUAAAAAUCACAAUAAAUACAUGUAACAAGAAUAUGCAUGCUUUUUCAUUUAACGAUACAUAAUUAAGCACAAAUGAGAAUUUCUCAUUGUGUGGCUAGGUCAAACCCACCGAACCGUCGCGUAGGGUCUCGAUUCGCCGAAUAAAGUUGUCCCCGAGUCUCAAAAUACCCUAAAAGUGAUCAGCGAAGAGAUACGAGGGCAUUACGACCAUCUUAUAAAACCAAUUAUUAACCUAGAAGCAAAAAGGGCCAAAACUCACCUUAAGAGAAGAAAUCUCUUCCAAAGCUCCAAAAGAGAGCUAGAACCCUUCCAAACCAAGCCCAAGGAAGGUUCUAAACCAAUCAAUCUAGCUCCAAAAGCCCUAGGUUCAAAAUGCCCAAAAUAAGCCCUAAGUAUCAAUUCUAGGGUUUCAUCUCAAAAACUUAGCAAAACAAGAUCUAGAGGAGGAAAAUGAGCAACCAACCUCCUUAGAAGCUCCAAUCCUAGCUCCAAGGGUGAAGAUCUCCUCCUAUGCAAGCUCCAAGACCAAGCCUUCAAGCACCAAGGGAGAUGAGAGGGUGAGGAAGAUGCUCCAUGCCCACUAGUAGCUCCAAACUCCUCCUUCCCUCCUUCCUCUCCUUCUCCUUCUUCUUCUUCUUCUCUAACAAGGGUGUAGAGAGGGUUGAGAGAAGAGAAAUGGGGAGAAGAGAGAGUGGAGGGGUCAUAUAGACCCUCUAUUGUAACAAAAUCCCAAGAGGCCCCUCAAAAAUCCAAUAAUACAUCAGCCCGGUCUGGGCAGUUUUCGCCCAAAGGGACCGGUCUCUCCCCAGCAGGGACCGGUCUCUCGCUGCGAACCCGAAAAACCAACGUUCGGGAACCGGUCUCUCCCUGCGCAGGACCGGUCUCUCAUUGCGAAAACGCGCUCGGGGACCGGUCUCACCCACCAGGGACCGGUUGCCUCAGGGCUGCCGCAACACUGCUCAUUGGGGGACCGGUCUCUCCUUCCAGGGACCGGUUCCCGAGAGUGAAAACUCUCAGGACCAAACCAAAACUCAGGUUUUCGAACUUUUUAGGUCGGAAAACAUUCUACGACCCUCCACCAAGUGUGGAAAAGCUCGAAACACAUCCAAACACUCGAACCUCGCAAUUUGCAAAGGUUCAGUGUGUUACAAGUGCACUCCGGAGUGUGUCAUUAACUGGGUUGAUCGUAUAAGCCUUCCCAGUAGACGAUCCCGUCGGGAGGCAGCUUAGGGCCCGAUACUUAGGGAUUGCGUUGGUGAGUUAUAGUUAACCAAAUGGUUAACCAGAUGGAUUGGGUAUUGAUUAUUUAUAGCAUGCAUGCAUAAAUUUUAUAUGUUAUCUACUUUUUGUUUCAGCUUUGUACAGGCAUUGUAGUAGUUGCAUAUUAUAGCUGGUUACUAUCUACUCUCUUUUCUUGUCUACAUAUGCCUGAAUAGACCUAGUGGGUGAGUCGGCGAGGUCGGUGGCCGAACCCACUGGGAGCUUUCAGUAGUUCUCACCCCACUAACCAUGCAGGUUUUAGCUCGUGC
rnacentral:lncRNA from 1 species